CCUACGGGAGGCAGCAGUGAGGAAUAUUGGUCAAUGGACGAGAGUCUGAACCAGCCAAGUAGCGUGCAGGAAGACGGCCCUAUGGGUUGUAAACUGCUUUUAUCGGGGGAUAAAGUGGGCUACGUGUAGCCUAUUGUAGGUACCCGUUGAAUAAGGACCGGCUAAUUCCGUGCCAGCAGCCGCGGUAAU
rnacentral:rRNA from 1 species